UACGAAGGGGGCUAGCGUUGCUCGGAAUCACUGGGCGUAAAGCGCACGUAGGCGGCUUCUAAGUCAGGGGUGAAAUCCUGGAGCUCAACUCCAGAACUGCCUUUGAUACUGGAGAGCUUGAGUCCGGGAAGAGGUGAGUGGAAUCCUAGUGUAGAGGUGAAAUUCGUAGAUAUUAGGAAGAACACCAGUGGCGAAGGCGGCUCACUGGCCCGGUACUGACGCUGAGGUGCGAAAGCGUGGGGAGCAAACAGG
rnacentral:rRNA from 1 species